UACGUAGGGGGCAAGCGUUGUCCGGAAUCAUUGGGCGUAAAGCGCGUGUAGGCGGCUAGAUAAGUCUGCUCUGAAAGCCCGGGGCUCAACCCCGGGAGGCGGGUGGAUACUGUCUAGCUCGAGUCCGGAAGAGGAGUGUGGAAUUCCUGGUGUAGCGGUGAAAUGCGCAGAUAUCAGGAAGAACACCCGUGGCGAAGGCGGCUCUCUGGGACGGUACUGACGCUGAGACGCGAAAGCGUGGGGAGCGAACAGG
rnacentral:rRNA from 1 species